AUGGAAACGCCGGAUCCUCAGCCCACUGAGCAAGGCCAGGGAUAGAACUUGUGUCUUCAUGGAUGCUAGUCACAUUUGUUUCCGCUGAGCCACGUCAGGAACUCUAUUGUGUACCAGGCACUGGAGAGACACCAGUGGGAAAAACCACAGAGUUGUAGCAAGCUGUGGGGUGUUAAAUAUCCAACAAAAAUGAUAGAUGGGCCGAUGGAUGGAUGGGUGGAUGGAUGGAGUUUGAGAUAGUGGCACAAUGAGAUAGGUGUGUGUGGCAGGGGUGGUCCAUGUCAAGAAGAAAAACAUCACAAGGUAAAGAUCACAGAGACUGGGUGGGAGAAGAGAUCCUUAUUUCUAAAGCCUUUCCAGGGACGGUCCCUCCGCAAGCAUUAAUAGUUUAAUGGAGUGAGAAAAUAACUGCUAAAUUCUACUCCAUAAAAAAAAAGGGCACCAAAUAAAAUUUAAAUUUUUUAAAAAAGAUUCCAUUUCCAGGCACUGUUUCAAACAUUGGAGUGACUCUCUGAGCAGAGGGAACAUGCCAUCCAAGCAGAUAGGCAGCCCUUGCCCCUGGGACACGUGAAAGGCUGGUGUGCUGAUCUCACAAGCUAGAGUAAGGGGAGAACAGUGCCACGGGUGGCAGCAAGGGGUGUGUGCAGUGGCCAACCCAGCCCCAGUGGUGACCAAAUGCAUAAGGAGGCUGCAGAGUGAGGGGAUCUCUUUUGUGCCAAGAGACAAUCGUGGUGCCAGGCUGUGAGCACCCCCCCCCCCCCCCCCCCCCCCCCCCCCCCCCNGUUUCCCACCCUAUCUACAGCACCAAGAGUAUUGGCUGCAUGUGGCACGUCUGGGCAACCUUUGAUACAUUCACUGUGUGAUACGAUACCCUUGACACCAGAGAAGGGAGGAUUAAUAUAUGGAGCAGAGAUAGAGUUCACAGUGCCCUGGAGCCUGACACAGACACACUCAGGAACAAUUUGACCAAUGCCUGGGACAUUAAACCAUGUUUGGAGAAUGUCACAACUUGCCAUCAGGUGCCACCAAGGCAAAGGGAUUAAAGCAGUGGGAACUCUCUGGGCAGAACUUGAGACACAGUCUUGAAACAGCAUCCUUGGUGUUCUGUGGAUUUCCAUUCACUGCCUAUUAUGUGCAGACACAGGGCAUACGGAGAUGAACGAGGAAGGAAAAUUCCGUCUUCCUAGAGUUCAUAGACUAGGGUGGGACCCAGGCAAAGAGCAUGGAACCCCAUCAGUGAUCAAGCAAUAGUACAAACAAAAGGCUUUGGAGGAAAUGCACUGGGCAGUGGGAUGGGGGAACUGGAGUGGGGUCGGAGGGGGAGCAGCCUAGGGAGGUGGUCAGGGAACAUGUCACAAAGGAAGCGCAGAUCCUGAAGGCAAUGUCAUAUGAAGAUCCGGGAAAGGAAGCCCAGGUGGAAAAAGCAGUGGCUGUUGGGACAGGACCAAGCAGGGCACACCUGAGGGCCAGAGGAAAGGCCAGUUUAGAGCCUAGCGAUGAAGGGCUGUGGCUGGAGGAGAGCUCUGAACAGAUCGUGGUGGGGACUCAGCUGCCAUGGGAAGCUGUUGGGAAGCUGUUGGGGACUUUAAGCUGUAACAUUAUCUGCUUUCUUCUCUGGGAAAACUCCUUCCAGCCACUCCAUGGAGAAGGGCACCCUGUGGUGACAAGAUGGUGGCAGAGAAACCAGUUAGGAGGCCGGGGAUGAGGCAUGAGUUGCAUUCUGGUCACUAAAUAUAAGAAGUGCUUAUUGGAUUUAGGGUGUUUUUGGAGAUGACAUUAAGGAUUCACUGGUGAAUUGGAAAUGGGGGCAACAAAAUGAGAGGAAUCAGGAAAAGUUCUGGGAUUUUUGUUCUGAGCAAUGUCCAGUGGGUGCCAACUCUGAAAAUGAGGACUAAUUGGUCACGAGGAGUUCCCGUUGUGGUUCAGCAGGUUAAACAUCCAUGACAUAAUGUCCGUGAGGACGCCAGUUCGAUCCCCGGCCUUGCUCAGUGUGUUAAGGAUCCAGUGUUGCCAUAAGCUGAGGUGUAAAUCGAAGAUUUGGCUCUGAUUCUGAAACUUACAGCACUAAUGACUUGAACCUAGCCAGAACCCAGACUGGGACCUGAACCCACAGUUUGUUUUGUGUGUGGGGGAGUGUUGUUGUGGGAGUUUUUUGUUUUUUGGGGGGGUGUUUUGUUCUGUUUUUGCUUUUUAGAGCCACACCCGCAACAUAUGGAAGUUGCCAGGCUGGCGGCUACAGCUCUGAUUGGACCCCUAGCCUGGGAACCUCCAUAUGCUGCGGGAGCGGCCCUAGAAAUGGCAAAAAGACAAAAAAAAAAGAAAGGAAAAUACAUAGGCAUGUAAAUUUUAGCACUAUAAAAUUCAUAUACAUGUUAAGACAAACAAGGUAAAGUUGCAAUUUGGUAAAUGAUUAGGCACCAACUGAAUGGUACAGCUUUCAGGAUCCUGGUGCGUUUUUUCUACAGCAUGAUUUAAAGUCAGUCCAUUGGUGUCUGUGCCUCCUGUCAGUACACACAAUUCUGGGGAGAAGCAUAACUAAGUCAGUAACUUAUUUUGCAAAUUAGCAACACUUGCUGCAUUUUCCAGGUGUGCUUUUGUUGUCUCUCUAGAGAAAGGCUUAAAGAAAGAAGAAUGACGAUGUGCUUCUUUUAAGUGCACAAAAAAGAGUGUAAUGUUGAUGGAGCCAGGAGUCCCCACUGAUCUACAUCCAAUGUUCAUUAGCCAAGUCCCUGCUGUUAGCAGUUUGCACAGAGAAGCAAAGUUGUCAAAACACAUAAUAUUCAUUAAUGAGCAGAGCCUUUGAAAAACCUGCCCCCCAUACAUCUUUCCUAAUUAACAAUAACGCUUUUUCCCACCCAUUAUCUCCGUCUCUGUGUCCAGUUUACAGCUAUUGGUUGGACCUUCUAACAUCCCUUAAAAGUGCAGGUUUCACAAAGCUGAUGUGUGGCAGAAUUGCUCACACUCCACAUGCAAAGGUGUUAAUGAAUGAGGAUCUCACUGUUGAGGAAGAAAAUGAGACGAGGAUGAUGACACAGGCCCUAUAACCCUUCCAAAAAAAAAAAAAAACGAUUCAUCUAGGAAGGGCUUAGGACAGAGCCUCGGAAAACUUGAACCCUUGAAUAUCUUCCCCCAGCCUCUCUCUGUGACUAUGGGCAAGUAAAAGCCAAAGGGGACGCUGUGAUGUCACAUCCUGCUGCUAUUUUAUGGGGAAAUUACACCAAGGAGCAAUCAGUGCUUGAUUCCAGUCCCAUUCAUUGAUAGCAACCAGGUCGUGCUUGCUCUUAGAAUGUACAUUUGGGGGAAAACAUUAGAGCCAACAUUUUAUUUCUCAAAAUUAAAAAAAAAAAAGUAACCAUUUUGGAGUUCCCGCUGUGGCACUGUCGGUUAGGGAUCCAGUGUGGUCUCUGCAGUGGCUCGGGGUGCAGCUGUAGCUGGGAUUUGACCCCUGGCCCAGAAACUUCCAUAUGCCUUAGAUGUGGUAGGGGAAAAAAAAAAACACACACAGAAAACAAAAAAAUUUUUUACUAAUACAGCUUUUCAUGUCAGAUAAUUUAUGUGCAGGCAUCUUUUUCCUCUGCCAGCACUCCCCAUGUUUAUUAUGUUUAAAUAACAGGAGAAACUUCCUUCUCUGAAAAAGAACUUUGAGAUCAAAACGUGUUUCCUUGCGGGGGUGGGAGGUGUCCUCUGCAUUCAGGGGAGUCAGUGGAAGUGAUGAUAGUAACGAGCUUUGAGGUGUUUGACAUCAAACUGAACCAGCACUUGUUCAUCUUGGUCAUAACCAGGAAUCCUCAAUUUGUAUUCACCAAGUCCAUAUGCCAGUGUGGGACUGCAUCCCAGGACACUCAGGUAGAAAACUGUUUAUUGGGUCCCACUGUGGUGCACUGGGUUAAGGAUCUGGUGUUGUCUCUGCAGCAGCUCUGGUCACUGCCAAGGCACAGGCUCGAUCCCUGGCUCAACGCAGUGAGUUAAGGAUCCGAUGUUGCCGCAACUGUGGCAUAGGUUGCAACUGCAGCUCAGAUUCAGUCCCCGGCCCGGGAACUUCCACAUGCAGUGGGUAUGGCCAAAAGAAAGAAAAAAAAUUGCUUAUUUGUUCUCCUUCUGAGCUAGUUCCCAUCCCCUUACAUCGGCUAGCUACUCCAGUUCCAAGGAAAUAAAGCUUUGCCCAAAAGCUGGUGCCUUCUUCUUAUUCUUUCUUUGCUUUUUCUCUUCUCUUCCUCCUCCUCCACUUCCUCCGUUGUCUUUCUUUUUUUGUUGUUGUUUUGUUUUGUUUUGUUUGUUUUUUUAUCACAUCUUAUUUCACUUGCACAAGGAUACCGUGGGACCUUCCAACUACUCUUUCUCACAAUGUAGAACAUUGAUGCUAACAGCCCUUAGAGCCAAUUUAGUCCACUUCAUUCACUUUACAGAUGAGGAAACUGUGGCUGGAGCAGCAGGGGAGACUGAAUGGGGCCCCUCUUGCCCCCUCACACACACACCUCCCUGCACCCUCAUCCAAAACUCUAAGCAGUAUUUGUCCUCCUGGCAGCUGUCUUCCAUCCUGGUAGGGAUGGCACUGACGUAGCCUACACCAGAUCUCAGAGACCUUCCUGCCAUCUCCACUUCUAUAUUCCCCCAAAGUAGACCCCCAGACAAAGAUUGGGGAGCAGGUCAUGUGUUUGGGACUGGAUCCUAGGAAACUCCGUUGUGACAAUGGGAAAGAGAGACCAUGCACCCACAGAAAGAAGACACCAAGCAGGUCACUGCUCUGGGCACCCGGGACUCAGCCCCACGGUGGGGGGGGGGGGCCUCUGGGAGGCAGUGGGGAGCACGUACUCCUCGGGGGUGAGGGGCUGUGGGGGUGUGCACCAGCUGAGGGCAGAGCAGACUCUGCAGCCAGCAACCCUCCAGGCAAAGUCAUCGGUGCUGGAAGUUGGGGGUCCAGCCUGAGUCCAGCCUGGAAGUGGUGGGUGCUGUGGAGACACAGAUAGGAAAUCAGCCAUGCUCUCCACACACCACAUCCUGGAAGCUCACCACAGAGGGUCCACUCCUACUGUCAUGGGAAGAUACUGAGUUCCUUUCUCAAGAGGGAUGGGAGGAAGGGGACCUAGAACGCAUGAUGGGCCUAAAUCCAAGUGACUCCCUGCUCCCAGAAUGGAUCCUUUGGGGCAAAUCUCAUCGACACACGAAAUGCUACAGAUCCAGUGGGUUGGUGGACUAAGUUUGGGAUAAAAGAUACGUUUUAUCCAGCCUGUCUCCACAACAAGAUCCUACACCUUUCUGCCUGUUCUUCAGUCUUUCAGCUGAAGGUGUGUCCAUCACUGAUGUGGUUUUUGGGACAGAGGAGUGGAAUCAAGAGAUUCUUAGAGUUCUCCUGUGGUGCAGCAGGUUAAGGUUCUGGCGUUGUCUCUGUAGCAGCUGUGUUAUGGGCUCAAUCCCUGGCCUGGGAACUUCCACAGAUCUCAGGUGCAGCCAAAAAGAGAGAGAUUCAUGGCAAGCAGUCAUCACUCUGAUAUCUCAACUAUAAUUCCUGAUUCGUCCAUCAGGACUCUCUCAGCAGAAGAGUUAUUUCAUCAAUAAAGCCACUGCAGUGAUGGAUUGACUUGGGGAAAUGCAUCUGACUGCUGCUGAACCAUAGGUCAAGGUCAGACCUUCUUCAGAGUCUUUAUGACCUUCAGGAAUUGGUGUAGUUUUUUCCUCUUCCACUGCCCUCAAAUCAAGUCAAAACUUCUUCAAAAAGGAAAAAAAAAAAA
rnacentral:lncRNA from 1 species